GCCAAAACUCAGUGGUAGAGCGUCUGCUUUGCAUGCAGAAUGCUCCAGGUUCAAUCCCUGGCAUCUGCA